GAAAGGUUAUUAAGACAAAACCCAGAAGGAAGCCGAAAAGGGAAUCAACAGGGGAAAGCGGCCAGCCAAUGAACGAAUGGGGCAAUACCAACAAGAAAAACAGGCCAGAAAGCUGAAAGAGUCUGGCUUAAAGACAGAAGUGAUGGAUGUGAUGGGGAGAAUGCUAAUGGCUGUUUCAGAGUUAAAGAACGACUUUAAAAUAGUAUUUCAUAGUCAGGAAAGAUGUCAACUCUGAAAGCUUGAAACUAAGAGUCUGUUUAUGGGGGAUGGGCAGGGCGCAAAUGAAAAAGAAAAAUAUCUCAAACAGGGCAAUAUAGCAAGACCCUGCCUCAAAGAGGCAGGAAAGCAGGCAGGAUGGACAGAUAGACUAAAACAAACACACACCAGAAGGAACUUCCAGUUUAGGUCUUGAACCCAUCUUCUCGAAUUAAUUUCCAGUUACUUACUUUCACCUGAAGAAAUAGUUGAUAUUAGGUUAAUAAAUACAGGAAUGAAGCUCAGUGUGGUCUGAAAGUUACACAAGUGAAAAGAAGGGGAAUUCCAAAGAGCCGGCAGCCCCCUCAUGCGGCUAGAGAAGCGCGAGAAGACAGACUACUCAAGGAGACUCCAGGGAGUGUGGUGUGGACGGGAUCUGCAGACAAAAGCCGUAAGGAUUUUUAAUUUCAUCUGCUAGAAUAACUGGUCCACCUUUUGUGUGUGUCCUCUGGCCACCUGCAUGAACAGAACAAAAGACAAAAGCACAACCCAGAUAAACCUAGGGCAUGAGAGAAAAAGUGAAACCUGAAAGUGAUGCGUAAACACAAAGAAACGCAAAGGUUCCUGCUGCGUGAAGGACUACAGCCUCCAGAACAUGCAGGCUAACUUCCUAGUCACUUACAGAUACUGCUGUCCAUUAAACAAACACGCGGUUUGUCUCACUUAAAGGAACAAAUUCUGCUGCAAACUUACCUGAAAAUCAAAAAACAAAGACAACGAAUGUCUGGUUGGUCUGAGGAGACUGCUUACUCUGUAAAGUACCUGCCGCAC